rnacentral:rRNA from 1 species
GUUUAGAAUGUANAAAUUGGGUCUCUGUACCUAUAUAAAAGUUAUACAACUUUCAGCAACGGAUCUCUUGGCUCUCGCAUCGAUGAAGAACGCAGCGAAAUGCGAUAAGUAAUGUGAAUUGCAGAAUUCAGUGAAUCAUCGAAUCUUUGAACGCAUCUUGCGCUCCUUGGUAUUCCGAGGAGCAUGCCUGUUUGAGUGUCAUUAAGUUCUCAACUACACUGGUUUCAUAUACUANUGUGGCUUGGAUAUGGGGGUGUUUUGCAGGCUUCAAAGUCGGCUCCCCUGAAAUGUAUCANUAGUAUCUGAGCAGAAACUACCACAGGUGUGAUAAUUAUCUAUGCCUCAAGUGGACUGCANCAACAGAUUAUACUGCUUCUAAUAACACAUUUGACAAAUUUGACCUCAAAUCAGGUNNGACUACCCGCUGAACUUAAGCAUAUC